rnacentral:lncRNA from 1 species
GUUGCCUAAAAUUUAUUUUCAAAUACAUUGCUGAAUUGCUGUUACUGAUAGCAGUAUUUUAAAGUUCUUUUUGUAGAAAACACUUUUCUUUUUUGCUCUUUACAAAUCGGUCCCCUCCCAUGGUUGAUUAUAAAUCUUGUUUUUCAUUUUUUCCUCAUAUUAAUUCAUAUGAACUACUCUUUAUAAAGAUGAAUUUUAGUUUUUAAAACAUUCUUCAAUCAUUAUUUAAUAGGAAGAAGAAAAUAAUCUCAUUUCCCAACUUACAAAUUCUUUAUGAUAUAAUUUUAUAUUCACAUGAAAAUAUCAAGUCUGUCCUUCAUUGCUAAAGACAUAUGUACUCUCUGACUUCAGCAAAUUUAGAGUAAGUAUUGUUUCCUUUUUUAGGGGUUCUCUAGUUUAAAGCUUCAGGGAAGGUGUAUUGUUACACAUCCUAAACCUUUUAGGCACAUGACUUCACUUCUCUGUGCUUUACUUCCUUUAUUUGUGCCAUGUUUAUGAUAAAAAGGAGUAUCUUACAGGGAUGUAAUAAAGAUUAAUAAGAUAAUGCAUAAGAGAACAUGGACAGAGAAAUACAAAAUAGUUAUCUUUCUUUGGUUUAAUAUCUCAUUUUUAAGUGCUUAUAAAAUAAGUCAUUUAUUUUAGUAAAUUCUGCCAGUUUUUUGGGGGGUAUUUCCCAUGUGUAGGAACUCUAGUAAAAAUCAACAGAAAAACUAUAUUUUAAGGUGUUUACAUUUUAAUGAAGAAGAACACUGAAUUACAAUAUAAGUGGUUAAUACAAGUAAUAUUUUGAGACCACCAUGGUAGAACUCACUAAAUCUGCAUAGAGCAAUCAGAUAAAAAUUCAUGUGAAUUUGUUGGGUGAAUAAUGAUUUACCUAGUAAGUGUGUUUGACCAUAGUUAUUUGAAUAAGUCAUGAAAGAUAAAUACUGAAGAACUAUUUAUAUUGCAAAUAGAAAUGGGAGAAUGUAGUAAAAUUCUGACUUGAUCUUAUACUGGGGAAAAAUAUCCUAAAAAUGUUACUGGGAAUACUGACAGAACUGGAAUAUGAAAUGUAGACUAGGUAAUAGAUCUUUAUCACCAUCUAAUUUCCUGAAAUAUAUCACUGUAC